CCUACGGGAGGCAGCAGUGGGGAAUAUUGGGCAAUGGGCGCAAGCCUGACCCAGCAACGCCGCGUGAAGGAAGAAGGCUUUCGGGUUGUAAACUUCUUGUAAGAGGGAAGAGCAGAAGACGGUACCUCUUGAAUAAGCCACGGCUAACUACGUGCCAGCAGCCGAGGUAAUACGUAGGUGGCAAGCGUUGUCCGGAUUUACUGGGUGUAAAGGGCGUGCAGCCGGGAAGACAAGUCAGAUGUGAAAUCCCGCGGUGCAACCGCGGAACUGCAUUUGAAACUGUUUUUCUUGAGUACCGGAGAGGUCAUCGGAAUUCCUUGUGUAGCGGUGAAAGGCGUAGAUAUAAGGAAGAACACCAGUGGCGAAGGCGGAUGACUGGACGGCAACUGACGGUGAGGCGCGAAAGCGUGGGGAGCAAACAGGAUUAGAUACCCGAGUAGUC
rnacentral:rRNA from 1 species